CACGUAGGCACCAAGCGUUGUCCGGAUUUAUUGGGCGUAAAGAGCUCGUAGGCGGUCUGUCGCGUCGAUCGUGAAAACUUGGGGCUUAACCCUGAGCUUGCGGUCGAUACGGGCAUGACUGGAGUUCGGCAGGGGAGACUGGAAUUCCUGGUGUAGCGGUGAAAUGCGCAGAUAUCAGGAGGAACACCGGUGGCGAAGGCGGGUCUCUGGGCCGUAACUGACGCUGAGGAGCGAAAGCAUGGGGAGCGAACAGG
rnacentral:rRNA from 1 species